CCUUCUCACCGGAGAAGGCAACUGGGCUGCCUUCUCCGGCGAGAAGGCGACCCACUGGGCUGCCUUCUCACCGGAGAAGGCAGCCCAGUUGCCUUCUCCGGUGAGAAGG
rnacentral:pre_miRNA from 1 species